GAUGAAGAACGUAGCGAAAUGCGAUAAGUAAUGUGAAUUGCAGAAUUCAGUGAAUCAUCGAAUCUUUGAACGCACAUUGCGCCCGCCAGCAUUCUGGCGGGCAUGCCUGUUCGAGCGUCAUUUCAACCCUCGAGCCCCCCCGGGGGCCUCGGUGUUGGGGGACGGCACACCAGCCGCCCCCGAAAUGCAGUGGCGACCCCGCCGCAGCCUCCCCUGCGUAGUAGCACACACCUCGCACCGGAGCGCGGAGGCGGUCACGCCGUAAAACGCCCAACUUUCUUAGAGUUGACCUCGGAUCAGGUAGGAAUACCCGCUGAACUUAAGCAUAUCAAUGAGCGGAGGA
rnacentral:misc_RNA from 1 species